GUUUUUGUCAUUUUUUUUUUUUUAAUUAUAGUUUUCUUGAGUUUUGGCUGGGUGACAUGGUUACUUUACCAAACUGCUGGUCUCCUGAGAGGAGUGUGGCAAUGUUGCUCCUUCCAAUGCUGUUUUCUGCUGCACUGUUUUCUGUUAUAGGAGGCUUCCUAUCUGAUAGGCUUGGUAGAAGAAAACCUCUUGUUAUUGGAUCAGCAAUAUUAAUGAGUGUCUGUGCAGUGAUACUGGCUGGAUUGCAGGGGAAAUAUGCUUUUUACGCUUCAAUGCCAGUAGCCUUAACAUUUGGUUAGUGCAGCAUUUAGCUUUAAUCAAAGUUUCAACGAGUGAGGUGGUAGCCUAGGGGU